rnacentral:rRNA from 1 species
UACGAAGGGGGCUAGCGUUGCUCGGAAUCACUGGGCGUAAAGGGUGCGUAGGCGGGUCUUUAAGUCAGGGGGGAAAUCCUGGAGCUCAACUCCAGAACUGCCUUUGAUACUGAAGAUCUUGAGUUCGGGAGAGGUGAGUGGAACUGCGAGUGUAGAGGUGAAAUUCGUAGAUAUUCGCAAGAACACCAGUGGCGAAGGCGGCUCACUGGCCCGAUACUGACACUCAGGUGCGACAGCGUGGGGAGCAAACAGG